UUUUUUUUUUUUGUCGGAAGAUACUGAAAUUUCAUUACUAGCCCGUAAAAAAGGCACCAUCUCCUGGUGAGUCUAGACAUAAUAUGGACAAUAAAGGUUGAGGAGGGAAAGAGACCCAAUUGCUAGAAAGUAAAUUUUUUCGGUGAGAUUUGGCCACCCAAUCCGCAGCGGUAUUGCAUUCCCUUGAUUCAUAAAGGAUAGGCACACCACCCAGCUAGGCUUUGAGCUAUACGCAGUCAGCAAUGAGGGAAUGGGCCUGCCAAGGAGCUGCUUCUCGGCCCGAUAUGCUGUCCACGAGAGAUAAGUUGUCAGAGAAAACGUGCACCUGCAGAUCUGUUUGGUCAACACCUUCGUUUGGGAGUUCAGUUCGAGCUUCGCUGUUUGUCCGCCUACUUUUUACCCACAAGAGGGCUUCAUGUACUGCUAGGGCUUCUGCAAUCCAGGCGGACGGAGCUGAGAUCUGCUUAGUGAAACCGGCGACGAGAAGGCCAGCUUCGUUCCGACAAAGUCCUGCAACCGAUGCCUUCAAGCUCGAGCUGCACCAUGAGGCAUCAACGUUCACCUUCAGCGUGUGCGGGUCAGAUCUGCUGUUAUUCUUGCUUCUUCAUGUGUGCUGGUUGGGUCCGGUGAUUUCCCUUGGAAAACCGCAGAGUUGCGGGUCUUCCAUAUUUGCCACAUGAGUGCUGCAAAGAGGGCUUUUGAUCUUGUUUCGGGUUUUGAGUCACAGAGGAUGAAUAUAUGCUCCAUUGUCUCUAGUGCAUGGCCGCAAAUCCGGCACAUUGGGUCAGGUAUUAUUUGUCUCUUAUGCAAAUUUGCCUUUGUUGGGAGGGAGUUACUGCAUAAAUUCCAGAAAAAGACUCUGAUUUUGGUGGAUGUUGGUAGAUUCCAUAUUUGAUGCCACAAUAGUUUUGGUGUUUGGUAGGAUGAAGAAGGGUUUUGUCUAGUGGUAGGAAUGGUUGAGCUUUGUAGUCUGUUGUAUCCGCUCUUGACUGUGUAUGAGCCGGAUCUGUUUGCUGUCCAGACAAG